AACGUAGGAGACAAACGUUAUCCGGAGUUACUGGGCGUAAAGCGUGCGUAGGCGGUUCGUUAAGUUCGUUGUGAAAGCCCCGGGCUCAACCUGGGAACUGCAAUGGAAACUGGCGGGCUUGAGUGUGGCAGAGGGGGGUGGAAUUCCGCGUGUAGCAGUGAAAUGCGUAGAUAUCAGGAGGAACACCGGUGGUGUAGACGGCUUUCUGGACCGUAACUGACGCUGAGACACGAAAGCGUGGGGAGCGAACAGG
rnacentral:rRNA from 1 species